AUGAACUAAUGAUCCUAAGCACCCAUAAAAGGAGCUAAAGGAGGCAAAGUUAGGGUUCUUUCUAAAGAAUGAGGCUGGGAGAGGCUUUGGGAGUUUCCCGAGGACCGUUUUGCCCCUCUCCCAUGAUGAUCUCCGAUCAUCUUUAGCUGAUGAUUUCUCCGACCACCAUAAAACGGCCCUCUAAUUUACUCUGCGCGAUAAGCUUAGCGAGUUUCUGUAAUCAUAAAUCAUCAUCAUCUUCAGUUUCACUCCUCAAACAAACUAGGAAUUUGCACUUCCUAUGAUUUGUUUUGUAAACCAAACAAGGCCUAAAAGUUGAAAAAUACUUCCUCCGUUUCAUAGAGGCUAUGAUGGAAGAAAUAGUUCAAAGUAGUCAAAUUUAGUUUAGUUUGAAGCGUUUUUUGAGGUGGGUUUUUUGCAAUUAGGCUUGGCAGCAACUUUUGGGACUUGGGUCUUAAAUUUUGCUUUGCCGCCAAUGGUAAUUUUUCUACCUUAAAAUGCUCACUAAAUUGGUUGAUGAAAUGCGGAUCUGAGCCUCUUUAAUUUACCACAUUCAUGGAAAAGUUGAUCUUUUGUCAUGGACUUGGGCAUCUACAUGCAGUGCCUCUGUGGUCUCCCUGUUGAUGCCAACCAACUGUUGUGGGAACAGAUAUGAGCCUUUCCACUCUUCCAUGCUUGGUACUAUUAAGAUAAACUAAUGGUAUUCCUAUUCUAUUGAGAUACUACAAUAAAGAAUAGAACAUGCUACCUACUGAUCUUCAUGUUAGUGCUCUCUCCAACUGAGCUAUCCCGAACAUAUAUUCAUUGUUUUGGUAAUGAUUCCAGGACAACUUGUUGGAGGCAAUGAUGAAUUUCCCCCUCAUAUCUUAAGAUAUGGAUGGCUUAUUAUACAUAUAGUACUUGGCUUUUUUUUGGGGGGGGGGGUUGUAUUUCGUUCCUUGUUUGGGAAUGUAACAUGAAUGUAAAUGCAUGAAAAAGAUGUUUUCCGAUAACCUCUAAUUUCAACAUUAGCAUAUUUUGUUCUUCUGGGUGUAUAACUCUAAUGGUGAAGGUUGUUGGUUAUUGUCAGUUUUUGAAAUUGUAAUCAAGAUGGUGAAAGUUUGUUCUUUUCUGCUUGAAUUAGGCAUAUCAGCUGCAUCACUUCAGGUGUAAGCUAACAACUAACAAGUGAGGCGUGGUAAAAAAUGAACCACACAAUUGCAGUGACAGAAGGAGAACUGAUCUAUUACUCCUGGAUUUUGUUUUUUGUUGCUUUUGUAUUGCAAAUUAGGGUCCUUUUCAGCAAUUUCUCCAUUAAAUACUGAUAACUUGCAUAUAUUUGUUUCAUAAGUAGUAUCUAAAGCCUUGCAAGGUAUAAAUUUCUCAUUGUUUAGAUACCCUUUUGCUUCAAAAAUAAUUAUUGCUUAUAUACUGCCUCCUAAAUUCA